rnacentral:tRNA from 1 species
GCAUUAAUGGUGUAGCGGCGUAGCAUCCUGCCUGGAAUGCAGAACGUGCGGGUUCGAGUCCCGCCGUGUGUA